GCUCUUGCAGUGUUCUCCCCGCAGGUGCUGCAUGGAGUGAGUGGCGGCAUCCACCGUGAGGAGGAGAGGAGCUCUGAUACCCUCAGGACCCGCCAGGAGGGGCAUCACGGAGGCUUCUGGACGACUUGGAGCUGUGUCCUGGGGAGAAAACCGCUCCUGUCUGGGCCCUGAGUGCUGAGGAGGAAGCUGCCAUGCACUUUUCCCUGGCAUUUUUCCUGCAUGGUUCGUCUGUGUUUUUGCAAAUGACAUGUUGUCAUGAAUUUUUAUGCAUGAGGCAUAUUUCAUCAUGUCUGUAUGCUGAAGUCCCUUCAUCCUUUCAUUGGUUGGUGGACAGGAGAGAGAGGUCCAAGGUGCCCUACAUCGUGCGUCAGUGCGUGGAGGAGAUCGAGCGCCGAGGCAUGGAGGAGAUAACAAGGACGUGUCAGUGAUGAUGAGCGAGAUGGACGUGAACGCCAUCGCAGGCAUGCUGAAGCUGUACUUCCGUGAGCUGCCCGAGCCCCUCUUCACUGACGAGUUCUACCCCAACUUCGCAGAGGGCAUCGGAUGGCAGAGAAGGAGGCAGUCAAUAAGAUGUCCCUGCACAACCUUGGCACGGUGUUUGGCCCCACGCUGCUCCGGCCCUCCGAGAAGGAGAGCAAGCUCCCUGCCAACCCCAGCCAGCCCAUCACCAUGACUGACAGCUGGUCCUUGGAGGUCAUGUCCCAGGUCGAGGUGCUGCUGUACUUCUUGCGGCUGGAGGCCAUCCCUGCCCUGGACAGCAAGGGACAGAGCAUCCUGUUCUCCACCGAUGUCUAAAGGUCCCAGUCCAUCUCCUGGAGGCGGACAGACGGCCUGGAAACCUCUGGCUAAUCAGGCCAUCUGUAGAGUGGGAAUCAAGAUUUUCUGAGGCAUCCUUGGGCCACCCCCAGGUGUCAGGCCAUCUGCCAAGAGACAGCGGCCCAAAGCAGAAGGACAGGUGGCCUGGGCAGAUCCCGCCCAGGUCUGAAAGCCCCAGGCUGGCCUCAGACUGUGGGUUUUUUAUGUGGCCACCCGAGGGCGCCCCAAACCAGUUCAUCUCGGAGUCCAGGCCUGGCCCUGGGAGACAGGGUGAAAGCAGUGGUUUUUAUGAACUUAACUUAUAGAGUCCAAAAGAUUUCUACUGAAUCACUUGUCAAGAAGCGCCCUCUCUGGGGAGAAGGGAACGUGACUGGAUUCCCUCACUGUUGUAUCUUGAAUAAACGCUGCUGCU
rnacentral:lncRNA from 1 species